rnacentral:rRNA from 1 species
GCUAAUACCGGAUAAUAUAUUGAACCGCAUGGUUCAAUAGUGAAAGACGGUUUUGCUGUCACUUAUAGAUGGAUCCGCGCCGCAUUAGCUAGUUGGUAAGGUAACGGCUUACCAAGGCGACGAUGCGUAGCCGACCUGAGAGGGUGAUCGGCCACACUGGAACUGAGACACGGUCCAG